rnacentral:lncRNA from 1 species
GUCUCCUGGUCUCCUUGCCUGGUGCUGGAGGUUGGCUUUAAGGUGAGCCUGGACAGAGGAGGCAUAGUAGGAUCAGCUCAGGCCUUCGAAUGGCUUCCCCGCAGCCUGAUUCCGUUUCUGGUUAAACCUGUCACAGGAAGCCAGGGCUCACCUGCUCAAGCAAAGGUCUUAGGGUUGUAGAAUAGAGGUGACAUUAUUUUCCAGGAUCUUUCCUGUGUAUAGGAUGGUGAGUCUUUUAAGACAGCCGGGACGACCUACCUACACAGAACUGGACCAGACCAAUGGGCGACAGAGCCAGAUUGCAAGAAGGGAAAGAAAAACAAAACGCAACACCACACAACAACACCACACAAGAGCCUCUGAGAUGCUCCUUCCUUCCUUACUGCAUUAACCAGCUAUCGACCUGGUUGUGUCCGAUUGCGAUGAUGGGCUGAGAGAAAGAACACCGGAAGAGCCAGGCUGUUCUCAGGAAGGACUCACGCCGGCCACGGGGCCGCCCCUGGCCCAGAGGGUGAACCU